UAGGGAAUCUUCCACAAUGGACGCAAGUCUGAUGGAGCAACGCCGCGUGAGUGAAGAAGAUCUUCGGAUCGUAAAACUCUGUUGUUAGAGAAGAACACGAGUGAGAGUAACUGUUCAUUCGAUGACGGUAUCUAACCAGCAAGUCACGGCUAACUACGUGCCCG
rnacentral:rRNA from 1 species